GCAAACUAGGAUAGUCUAGUGGCAAGGAUGUUUGACUCCCAGUCGAAAGGUGCCGGGUUCAAACCCAAAUAUCCGGAGUCUGUA